GGCCACUAUAGAGCUGCUCGGUUAAAGACUGGCAGUGUUGCCAAAUCUCAUCAGACAAUCUAAAUAUUCCCGUACACUGACAUACUUCUCUAAUGGUUACAGAAAUUCCAGAAAAGCCUUCAUGAACCUGUAAUGAAGAUGAUCUUUGAUACAAAGCGGCGCCACUUGAGUUUCUACAGCUGUAUUUUUGUUUGGAGAAUACAAAGUGAGCAGAUGGGCUACCUGACAACUUGGUUUUUGGUCAUCUGAACUGUGUGCUCUGCGUUAAAACAUGGAGCAGGAUGGUGUUUCACCAUUACAGCACUUUGUUGUGGCGAAGAAGACAAUCAGUGCUUUGUUUCACCAGCUGCUGGAGUUUGUUAAAGAGGGAUCCGAUUUUGUGGAAGACACGUGGAGGAGUGAAGACCUGGAUAAUGUUGCUGAGGAGGAUCAGUGUCUGCAGAUCCAGACCUGCUUCAGGAAACUCACCGUCAUCAAAGACGUGCUGGACCGCAGACAUAUGAAGGUGGCUUUUUUUGGCAGGACCAGUAAUGGAAAGAGUACUAUAAUCAAUGCCAUGCUGAGGGAGCGGGUUCUGCCCAGUGGAAUCGGCCACACCACUAACUGCUUUCUGAGUGUGGAGGGCACAGAUGGAGAACAAGCCUACCUGACCACUGAAGACUCGGAGGAGAGGAAGGGUAUUGAGACAGUCAAUCAUCUGGCUCACGCUCUGCAUAUGAACAGGAACCAGGACUCAGGCUGUCUGGUUCGAGUGUUUUGGCCUAAAACCAAGUGUGUCCUGCUGAGAGAUGACCUGGUCUUGAUGGACAGUCCAGGAAUAGACGUCACAUCAGAGCUGGACAGCUGGAUCGACAAGUUCUGUUUAGACGCUGAUGUGUUUGUGCUUGUGGCGAACUCUGAGUCUACCAUCAUGAACACUGAAAAGCACUUUUUCCACAAAGUGAACGAGCGCAUAUCCAAACCCAACAUUUUCAUCCUGAACAAUCGCUGGGACGCGUCUGUCUUAGAGCCAGAGUAUCUGGAAGAUGUGCGGAAGCAGCACAUGGAUCGUUGCGUCAGUUUCUUAGUGGACGAGCUUAAGGUAGUGGACCUAAACAAGGCACCUGACCGCAUCUUCUUCGUCUCUGCCAAAGAAGUGCUCAGUGCCAGGAUCCACCGUGCCCAGGGAAUGCCAGAGACUGGCGGAGCUUUGGCUGAAGGAUUCCAAGAGCGACUGAUGGAGUUCCAGAGUUUUGAAAGAACAUUUGAGGAAUUUAUAUCGCAGUCUGCCGUCAAGACCAAGUUUGAGCAGCACACAAUCCGAGCCUGGCAGAUCAUUGAGUCGGUCAAGGCUAUCAUGGAUGCCAUCAAUAUUUCUUCGGCAGAAAAGAAAGUUUUCUCGCUGGAAGAUCGCGAGGCUCUUAUGGACCGGCUGGAGUUUGUACGUAAUCAGCUGAACUUCAUAACCGAGGACAUCAAGGACAAGAUAAAGGUCGUCAGUGAUGAAGUGGCUGCCAAGGUGUCCAGUGCUCUGGAAGAGGAAAUGCGAUGCCUGUCUGUUCUUGUGGAUGAAUUCUGCUCUGAAUUUAUUCCUGCCCCAAAUGCUUUAGCGCUAUACAAAACGAAGCUUGUGUCGUAUGUGGAGGAGAGAAUGGUGAAGAAUCUGGAGCUGCGCUGUUCCAGCAGUAUAAACGGCUGUGUCCUGUCCUCUCAGAGAGACAUCAUGGACACUCUGCGUCCUUUGCUGCCCCCUGCUGCCCGCGCUCAACUCCACCUGCCCAGCCGGAGGUUCACCAUGACCUACGACCUCAACCUCACCAGCCUCGGUGCCGAUUUCACCGAGGACAUUGACUUUCACUUCUCGCUGGGUCUUACAUCCCUGGUGAACCGCUUCCUGGGGCCUGCGAAUGCAAAACAAGCGUUGAGCCUAUUGGAGCAGAAAUUAAAAACUCUACAAAAUCUUGAGGUAUAUGAAGAAACUAGGGGUGUCAUGGUGGCUGGCAUGAGAAGAUUGCUGUCUUGAGCCCUGGCUGGAUCAGUUGGCAUAUCUGUGUGGAGUUUGCAUGUUCUCCCCAUGUUGGCGUGCUCCGGUUUCCCCCACAAUCCAAAGACAUGGUAUAGCUCACCUCUUCCUCUGCUCACACGGGCUCCCGGGGCCAUGAGGAUCUGGCUCUCUCCAUGGCAUCAGGACUGCUGUCUCUCACUUCCAGAGCUUCACUGGGUAUGGUAGUUAUUGCUGGAGUGGUAAGCAACAUUUAAAAUAAUUUAGUGUUUUGUUUUUUUCAGCCACUAAUUAUUUAAAGCACUUGUGUUCUGUUCAAAACCCAAUAGCACCUGUGGGUCAAAAACGACUGGCCUUGUACAAACUGCUGGUAAAUAGCUUUGUUUUAUAUGACAUUAUCACAAAAAAAUAUUGGGUUUAAUCUUCUCUUUUGUAUUUCAUUUUCAUAGUAGGUCUCAUUGAUGCGGAGUUAUGCUCCUGUGGAAAAAAGAACAAAGAAAAGAGGAUAAUUUUGGCAAUUUCAAUCAAAUAUGUGACCACAAACCAGUCUUAUGUUGCAUGGCAAAGGCCAAAAAUACGUUGAAUGGGACAAUAAAAUUGAUCUUACUUUUACACCAUUAGAAUAUUACGUAAAUAUAAGUUCCAUGAAGAUUUUUUAAAUUUAUUUAUAUUGACAAUUUAAAUAUAUUUCAAUAUUAUAUUUUAAUUUAAAUAUAUCAAAACACAUGUUUUGAUUAUUAAUACUCAUUGCAUUACUAAGCACUUAAUUUAGACAGCUUAAAGGGAUAGUUUACCCAAACAUGAACAUUUACUCACUAUUUACUCUAUCUUAACUUAUUCCAAACCUUUAUGUUCUUCUUUGUUCUGUUAAACACAACAGAAGAUUUUUUUAAAGAAAACUGAAAACCUGUAACCAUUGAAGUCCAUAGAAGGAAAAACAAACACUAUAGAAGUCAAUGGUUACAGGAUUUUAACAUUUUUCAAAAUAUCUUACUUUGAGUUUAACAGACUAAAGAAAGGCAUACAAGUACUGGGUGAGUAAAUAAUGACAGAAGUUUCAUUUUUGGACGAACUAUCCCUUUAAGCAUUCCUGUAACUUACAUUUUUCUCAAUAUUUCAUCUUUAUUUAAAUAUAUUAAAACCUAUUUUUUAAUUAAUAUUACUCAUUGCUUAGUAAGCACUCCAUUUAGACAGCUUUAAAUGGAUAGUUCACCCAAAAAUGAACAUGUUUUUAGUAUUUGUAUUUACUAUUUUUUUACUACUAUGGAUGUCAAUGGUUCAACAGAAGGAACUCAAAGGUAUGGAACGACUUGAACGAGACUUAACUUUCAAUUUUCGCGUUAACGAUCCCUUUAAAUGUAGCUUGGUCUGGUAAUUGCUGAGUAAAAAGUGAGUACAUUUUUUAUUUGGGUGAACUAUCCCUUUAAAUGUAGCUUGGUCUGGUAAUUGCUGAGUAAAAAGUGAGUCAUUUAUCAUUUUUGGGUAAACUAUCCCUUUACAUGUAGCUUUGUGUGUAAAUUGAUGAGUAAAAAGUGAGUACAUUUUCAUUUUGGGGUGAACUAUCCCUUUAAUACUUGAAGUAUAAGCACAAUGGUGUAAAAGAUGCUUGUGUGGUGCUGUUUGUCUAGGUGUGGCGUGCUGUGGGAUGGAGGGUUAUUGUACUAUCUGUGAGUCUCUACAGUUUCCUCUACUUGUAUGAAAGACUGACGUGGACCAACAGCUCUAAAGAGAGGGCUCUGAAGCAGCAGUAUGUGGACCACAC